rnacentral:rRNA from 1 species
AUUGAACGCUGGCGGCAUGCUUUACACAUGCAAGUCGAACGGCAGCACGGGCUUCGGCCUGGUGGCGAGUGGCGAACGGGUGAGUAAUGCAUCGGAACGUACCGUGUAAUGGGGGAUAACGUAGCGAAAGUUACGCUAAUACCGCAUACGCCCUGAGGGGGAAAGCGGGGGAUCGUAAGACCUCGCGUUAUACGAGCGGCCGAUGUCGGAUUAGCUAGUUGGUGGGGUAAAGGCCUACCAAGGCGACGAUCCGUAGCGGGUCUGAGAGGAUGAUCCGCCACACUGGGACUGAGACACGGCCCAGACUCCUACGGGAGGCAGCAGUGGGGAAUUUUGGACAAUGGGCGCAAGCCUGAUCCAGCCAUGCCGCGUGAGUGAAGAAGGCCUUCGGGUUGUAAAGCUCUUUCAGACGGAAAGAAAUCGCGCGCUCUAACAUAGCGCGUGGAUGACGGUACCGUAAGAAAAAGCACCGGCUAACUACGUG